UCUGGGGAGAUGUCUACUGCUGAACAACAGUUCCGCUUUGCAGGCACAGGAGAUGGGCUGGUGGGAACACCAUUGCCACCUGCUGAAGAAGGAGAGACUGUAGAGGAAGUUGAGGUCUCUCGCUUAGUAGCAUGCAAACCCUAGGCAGACAGAAAAGCAAACAAAUUUAAUAUUAGAGUCAUAAUCCACACUGUAUAUGCUACAUGUUUAUAUUUAACUGGAAAUCAGUCUGAAAUCUGGGGCUUUGAGAACUUCAAAUUUAACGUUCUUUUUUCCCUUUUUCUUUAAAACUUUUAUUUCUAGACCUCACAGUUACAAAAUAUUUUGAGGGCAUAAUGUAGUGAAGGAUCAGAAACCACAUGGAGAACUUCCAGUGAUCACAGGAUAGAGUUUCAGCAGAUUUCAUCAUGGCUUCCUUUCAUUCUGCCAAAAGUAUUUGCCAAAGUACAUAAUACAUAUAUAAAAUCAAAACCAGAUAGAUUCUUCAGGUGCUUUCAGCUGUGACACUAUUUUUCUUCCUUCACUUUUGAAACUGUGGAUAUGAUUAGGACGGUAGAUAAUAGGAAGCUGACAUUUAAACUUCAAACAAUAAUCCCUAGAAAUGUAGCUCUCAAACCUGGAUGAUUUGAUGGAUUGUUCUUAUUUUGCUAUUGUUCUGAUUGGGAACAAUUGUUCUCAGUCAUUUUUAGUUUUUAAAAAAAUUGUGGAAGAAUUGGUUGAGAAAAAUGCAAACUUCCCUACUGAGGAUGUGGUCUCUUCCACACUAGAAAAUUGUAAGUGUUUGCAGGACAGUGUGACAUUAUCCGGCAGAUAUAACAAAUUGAAAAAGGAAUGUUUAUGUAUUUUCUGAAAAGAGCAAAUUACAGAUACAAGAUUUAAGAUAGGAAAUAUAUUUUAGAAAUGUUUUGCCAGCCUUUGUAUUUCUAGCAACCUCUCUAUUUAUCUGUUUUAGAAACAGUUUUCACCUUUUUCACAUUUUAUAAAAUUAUAAAUAAUAUCAAAGUAUUGUCAUUAAAACAAAUCAUUGACUGCCAGAGAGAAGAGAAAACACUGCAUUGUGGAGGGCUUAGAAAGUCUGUCAGAUUUUAGUAGAGGUUUGGGAAGCUAGGAAUGCCAAGAAAUUCAGAUAUAAGCUUAUGCAUGUGCUUACCCAGUGGAUCAGGUUAGGAGAUGAACUGGUAUGAGAUUUGUGUUUUAUGAAGCUGGAUGAAACAUGCUGACCCAUCCCCUGCCCAGGCAAAGAGUGACUACCAUAAAUAGUUCUUACCAAACACUUGGGCCUAUUGCCUAAACAAAGGAUUUAACCAUACUACUGUAAUGACAUGCUAAAAUCAUGCUCUUCUCUGAUUGGUAGGUAGAACCCUGUCCCAGUUUUUGAUUGGUGAGUGAGAUGUAAUUGAACAGCCAAUCACAACCCCUCUUUUAAAGUUAUGCAGUACCACUUCUUACAGUAAAGAUAGAUUCAUGUAUAGCUCUGUGAUACAUCGAGGUUGGAGCGGUACCUGUAUCAAUGUAUGGGGAACUAAAUAGGGGAUGUAGGGCAGCAGUCAGGAACAAUUACACAGUAACACAGAGGAAGGUACAGAUAAAGGGAGCCGUUACUAAAAGUUUGUUAUUGCAGCAUGGAGUAGGAGCAGGAGGGUCUCAGAUGUUGGAUCUGACUCCUCUAGUAAAGGAAUGUUGUUGUAUACUCCUGCUUGAUUCUUGAAUGAAUGCAUAUCCCACUUGAAACAGUACCUCCCUAAUCCAAAGAGGCAGGGACUCUACAUCCCAUGCAGAUUCCUUCCUCGCCUCCUGCCUCUUGCAAGCUGGCACAAGGGAGUAAGCCAACCUGCUAGGCUGCCAGGGGAAGAGCUGCAGCUUCAAAGGACGCUUUACAGCAUAUGCACUCGGAAGCAAGUGGGACGUACAACAGUGCAGAGGAUCGCAGCCUUGGAAAUCCAGGGUUAUCAGAGCAUUGGAAGCAAUUGGAAAGAGGGAUUGUUGCAUGUGGUAAUGGAAAUAUGAGUGACAAUGACGCCAUCUUCCUGCAAGGAGGUCCUGAGAAUUCCAAAGGUCACGACAUGUUCUGUGAAUUGUUUGCCAUGGAUGCAUCUCGAAAUCUUGCCUCAGAAAUGGUGUGUGAGAGCCAGGAUGUAGAUUCUUCAGAAGAGGGGCAAGAGAAGACCACGCAUUGCGAAAGAGACUUCAGGAAACGGAAGGUCACCAUUGUUCACCAAAACAUUCUUGCAGGGGAAAAACCGUACAUUUGUGUUGAAUGUGGCCAGAGCUUCAAUAGGAGCUCAGACCUAGUCAGACAUCAAAGGAUCCACACAGGAGAGAAGCCAUAUAUGUGCGGGGACUGUGGGAAGAGCUUCAGCCGGCACUCCCAUCUCAUUCAGCACCGACGGAUCCACACAGGAGAAAGACCAUAUAAGUGUCAAGACUGUGGAAAAACCUUUAACCAGAGCACUCACCUCAUCCAGCAUCAGCGCAACCACACAGGGGAGAGGCCUUACGUGUGUGGCAAAUGUGGAAGACAUUUUUACCAAAAUUCGGGCCUCCUCCGGCAUGCCAACUGCCACAUGGGACGGAAACCGUACAGGUGCCCAGAUUGUGGGAAACGUUUCAGUGAUAGCUCAAACCUUGUGGCUCACCAGAGACUGCACACAGGUGAGAAACCCUACAAAUGUCUUGACUGUGGUAAAUGUUUCAGCGAGAGCUCCAAGCUCUCUAUCCACCGCCGGACCCACACAGGAGAGAAGCCUUACAUGUGCUCAGUGUGUGGAAAAAGCUUCAGUCAGGGGUCACACCUCAUCCAGCAUCGCCGGACACAUACAGGUGAGAAACCGUAUGAGUGCUCCGAAUGCAGGACCAGCUUCAGUGACAAGUCCACCCUGAUCAGACACCAGAGAACCCAUACUGGUGAGAAGCCUUUUAAGUGUCUGCAGUGUGGGAAAAGCUUCAGUCGCAAUGCUUAUCUUGUUGCUCAUCGGAGAGUGCAUAAGUGGUACGUAUCAGCCACCUUGCCAAAGAUCUGAUGUGGUGUAGUGGCUAAGAAUAUGAGCUAUGGAGUCCCAGCCUCAAAUCGGUCCUUACCCUUGAACUUAUGUGACUUUUGAGCAAAGAGAAGUUGAAAGCUGACAAACUGAGAACAGAAGGAAGAGGAGAAAAAUCUUUACUUUCUGUAAAAAUGUCGGGCUGUUGAGCUCAGCACCACAGAUAUGGCUAAACCCAGGAGUCUUCUUUUGUAUGGGUUAUAUUUGAUAGGUGGCCCAGUCAUCUCAGCACAAGAGAAUCCUGCUGCCUCAGAUACUCCCAUCCACUACUGGGCAGAUACAGCAGGUGACCUGUAAGCACAUGAUGUGCCGUUUGUUUUGACUACUCUCCAGUUAACAAGGUCAUGAUCAGAAACAGUUAAUAGUGGUGUAGAGAGGGGGGAAAGGAAUGUUUUGUGAGCUGCAAAAUAGAUUUGGUUGACUAGAAUAUCUAGAAGUAUAGAAUUGUUAAUGUUGCGAACCUUUUAGGAAAGGCUAGACAAACGAAUGUGCCAGAACACAAUACUGUUCUCUAGCAGGAACUGGGAGGACUUUUGUGGGAUUAGAAUAACACAUCUGCUUGCCCUGGCCAACCAAGCUUUCCCCACACCCAGCACAGGAGUGCGGGAUCUGCUACUGCUGGAGACAGAAUGCUUAAUUAUUAGGGUGAUGUAUCAUUCAAUAUGGUUGCCCCGAUGGUCCAUAAAACAUUUAACUUGCCAUUCUCUUGACCAUCUGAGGAAGGACCACAUCUGGAAUAGAGCUUUCAUGAUGAAAGUACAAUUGUCUGACAUAUUUGCAAUGCAGUCCAGAUUCCAAAGGUACUGUAGAUGCAUGAGCCAGACUAGGGUUCAGUGGAGCCUUCUUCCCUUCCUGCAUGGCUCUUGGCCACGCACACCACCUGUUGUUGUUUGCAACAUGUGCUCCAUGUGUGCCUCCCACAAACAUACAACGUCUAUGGAGCAUCAGCAGCUUGUAGGUUGUAGGCCCAGGGUAGGAAAGGGCUGGCUGUAUACUUAUUUGCGAGGUAUGCACAGGCCUGCACUUGUAAAUAAUGGGUGAUGUGUGUGACUAAGGAUCAAGUAGGGAGGGGGUGGAGAGCCCCAAAGAGAUCCUGCACUAUCCUUUCCUGUGUAUACAUUUGCACUGGAGGGUGCCCAGAUCAAUAACAGAGUUUCUUAAGCUCUGACUUUUCAGUUUCAUCUGGCACUGCAUGAAUCUUUAUUAGCAGUAAGGCUGAAGGCUUUCAUCCAAUUUUUCAUUGGCGCUUAAAUUGGAUUUUAAUGGAAACGAUCCUGUGCCUAUGAAAGAGUUUAAUGCUGAUGUUUGUUAUAAACACACUCUCUGUACAUCUUCUGAUUCCAGCCAUGUGUUCAGAUUUUGUUUUUCCAGUGAUAAAACAACUUGAUUGUUA